rnacentral:snRNA from 1 species
AUUGCUUCUUGGCCUUUUGGCUAAGAUCAAGUGUAGUAAAAAACUGUAAGGCCUUUGGAGACAUUUGAACAAUGACUGCAUAGUUGAUGUUAAGGAAGUUCAGGUGUGCUAACGUUAUUGAGAUCAUACUAAAAAUAUAGAAUCUUUAUUUAUUUAUUUAUUUUUUGCUACCGGGGAUUGAACUUGGGACCUUGCACUUUCGAGGCAGGUGGCAGCAUCACUGAAAUAAGUCCCUGGUCCAGAAUCCUU